rnacentral:rRNA from 1 species
UACGUAGGGUGCAAGCGUUGUCCGGAAUUAUUGGGCGUAAAGAGCUCGUAGGCGGUUUGUCGCGUCGAAUGUGAAAACCCGGGGCUCAACCCCGGGCCUGCAUUCGAUACGGGCAGACUAGAGUUCGGUAGGGGAGUCUGGAAUUCCUGGUGUAGCGGUGAAAUGCGCGGAUAUCAGGAGGAACACCGGUGGCGAAGGCGGGACUCUGGGCCGAUACUGACGCUGAGGAGCGAAAGCGUGGGGAGCGAACAGG